rnacentral:rRNA from 1 species
UACGAAGGGGGGCUAGCGUUGCUCGGAAUCACUGGGCGUAAAGGGUGCGUAGGCGGGUUCUUAAGUUAGAGGUGAAAGCCGUGGAGCUCAACUCCAGAACUGCCUUUAAUACUGGGAAUCUUGAGUUCGGAAGAGGUGAGUGGAACUGCGAGUGUAGAGGUGAAAUUCGUAGAUAUUCGCAAGAACACCAGUGGCGAAGGCGGCUCACUGGUCCGAUACUGACGCUGAGGCACGAAAGCGUGGGGAGCAAACAGGG